rnacentral:rRNA from 1 species
UGGUGAUUAUAAUAACUUCUCGAAUCGCAUGGCCUUGCGCGGGAUGCUUCAUUCAAAUAUCUGCCCUAUCAACUUUCGAUGGUAGGAUAGUGGCCUACCAUGGUUUCAACGGGUAACGGGGAAUUAGGGUUCUAUUCCGGAGAGGGAGCCUGAGAACGGCUACCACAUCCAAGGAAGGCAGCAGGCGCGCAAAUUACCCAAUCCCGACACGGGGAGGUAGUGACAAUAAAUACUGAUACAGGGCUCUUUUGGGUCUUGUAAAUUGGACAAUGAGUACAAUUUAAAUCCCUUAAACGAGGAACAAAUUGGGAGGGGCAAAGGUUCUUGGUUGCCAGCAGCCCGGCGGGUUAAAAUUUCCAAGCUCCCAAAUAAGGCGGUAAUAUUCAAACGUUUGUUGCAGUUAAAAAGCUCCGGUAGUUGAACCUUGGGGGCCCCAUGGGCUUGGUCGGGUUCCAGCCUUCAACCGGCGUUGGGCACUUGAUCCGGGCCGGGGCCCUUUCCUCCUUGGAGGAGCCGGAUGCCCUUCACUGGGUGUGUACAGGGGAACCAGGACUUUUUACUUUGAGAAAAAUUAGAGUGUUCAAAGCAAGGGCCAUUUGCCCGGAAUACAUUAGCAU